GACGAACGCUGGCGGCGUGCUUAACACAUGCAAGUCGAACGGAAAGGCCCUGCUUUUGUGGGGUGCUCGAGUGGCGAAAGGGUGAGUAACACGUGAGUAACCUGCCCUUGACUUUGGGAUAACUUCAGGAAACUGGGGCUAAUACCGGAUAGGAGCUCCUGCUGCAUGGUGGGGGUUGGAAAGUUUCGGCGGUUGGGGAUGGACUCGCGGCUUAUCAGCUUGUUGGUGGGGUAGUGGCUUACCAAGGCUUUGACGGGUAGCCGGCCUGAGAGGGUGACCGGCCACAUUGGGACUGAGAUACGGCCCAGACUCCUACGGGAGGCAGCAGUGGGGAGUAUUGCACAAUGGGCGGAAGCCUGAUGCAGCAACGCCGCGUGCGGGAUGACGGCCUUCGGGUUGUAAACCGCUUUCGCCUGUGACGAAGCGUGAGUGACGGUAAUGGAUAAAGAAGCACCGGCUAACUACGUG
rnacentral:rRNA from 1 species